UACGAAGGGGGCUAGCGUUGCUCGGAAUCACUGGGCGUAAAGCGCACGUAGGCGGCUUUCUAAGUCAGGGGUGAAAUCCUGGAGCUCAACUCCAGAACUGCCUUUGAUACUGGAGAGCUCGAGUCCGGAAGAGGUGAGUGGAACUGCGAGUGUAGAGGUGAAUUCGUAGAUAUUCGCAAGAACACCAGUGGCGAAGGCGGCUCACUGGUCCGGUACUGACGCUGAGGUGCGAAAG
rnacentral:rRNA from 1 species